AAAUGCCACCUCCUUCUCCUGACCCCAGUCCCUCUCCAUGCCUUUAGCUGCCCUCACCCGAGUUUCAAAGGGGGACGUCGAGGUAGUAGCCCGGGUUCCCAGCCCACUCCUCCCUUUCUCACCCACCCAGAAAAGUUGAGGCUGGGCUAGGGAAAGAGGGGAGCGUGGGGGCGGGGAUGGGAGCGCGGCCUGAACUGAAGUGUGAGGGUAUCAGUCACUGCCGGCGAGGAAGCUCCGGCUUGUGAACUCUUCUUGAACCGAGAUUUAAGUCUGCGGCCAUAAAUCACCCAGACACACACUCUACCAUUCAGCGCCGAGAGAGGCCGGCGGUGGCCCGGCUUACCUUAACUUCUGACGGCCGCCGCGGGCUCGGGCUCGGGCUGCAGCCUUGGGUCCCCUCGGCGCGGGAUGGCCAACGACCCUCAGCAUCCGCCGAGCCGGCGGGCGGGCGGGCUGGCGGGAGACCCCCGAGGCCGGGGCUCCGCGGAGAGCGGGACGACUAAGCUGCUCGGGCGGCUGGCCCCGGGCGGACUGGGGCUACUGGACCCCCCUCCCCUCCCCUCCCCCACGCCCGCCCCCGCCCUGCCCGCGGCUGCGACCCCAGAUAAGCGCUGGCGCGGCCGGGCUCCGCGGGGCUAGUGGCACCGACUUGGGCUGAAAGGAGGGAAGUGUCCGGGGGAGAUAGAGGACUGUCCCCCACAGUAAAAUGGACCUCUCCGGGCUCAAGCAUACACAAAGAUACCUAGAAACUUGAGUCUCCGUGUCUUGCGUGCCCAUUUCAUAGUACUGCACGAAAGGAGGUCGCCUAUGAGGAAGAUAGAUAAGGCUCUGACACCGACACAAACGGACAUCCAUGAUAUUCCACCCCUAAGCAGUUGAGUGGCCUUCCUUUUGCUGGGUCGAGCAAUGGCCUACACUUGCUUGGUAAUAUGCCACAACUUUAAAGACGAUGGGAUCAAUUCCCAGUGCCCCCCCCAGCUUCCCAGCUUCAGAAGCAAACUCCUCCAGGGUAGAAGUGUGGCAGAGAGAGAGAGAGAUAAAGAGAGAGAGAGAGAGAGAGAGAGAGAGAGAGAGAGAGAGAGAGAGAGAGAGAGAGAGAGAGCUCUGCUUUCGUGCAAUUCUGAGGCGUCAAUAAGAGUCCUUUCUCAAAGGAAGGUGUUAAAAAUAUAAGUAGUAUGUUUAAACUGUCAGGGAGCCAAAGUGUCACCUUAGAGCAAAAACAAAGCCAGGGGAAAAGGGAAAAAUCAAAAAGCACUCCGGGCCAGGGUGGCCUCAUGCAUACCAAUGGUUUUUGUCAUUUAUGGCUGGGCAAGAUUUAUGACUCGGCUCCCCAAAGCUGUAAACAGAGCACAAAACAGCAAACACUUGCUCCUUAUGGCAUAUUGCAGCGAAGCAACUUGAAAGGGAAGAGCGGGGCCGUGUAGGAGGUGAGACCCGGCCGCAAAAAUCCGCUCGGCGGCUUUUUCUCUUCAAACCCUCAGGGUCGGAUGUGGCAUUUGAAGAAAGAAGGCGUGGGUCAAUAAUCAACCCGCACUUUCUCCUCCAAACUGCUGACGCGACUCUCACCGUCUUCUCAGCUAAGCCAGCUGCCUGAAAGGCCGUGAGAACCAGACCUGGGAGUGGACUAUCUGGUCCAAAGGGGCUGAGAGCGUUGGAGCAAGGGGCUGGGGCGUCUGCAACGCGUACCUUUCCGGCUCGACCAGACCAAGCUCAGCCACUUAAGAGCUGGAACCAGACCCGACCAGGAAUUGCGGGAGCCACAGGAGAGCUUGGGUGAGAGCUCAACUCAGACCAGGGCCUCCACGACUAGAUGACUUCUGGGCGGUAGGCCCCAGCGGGCAAAAUAGAGCUUUGAUUUCAAGACGCGGGCCUGCACCCUGGCCUUAUGCCUCUCCUCUGAAAUCCAAAAGGCUGGCUUUGGAGAAAGCAUAGGCGAGAUUAUUAAAAUUGGUGGUUUACAAUAGCAGGUUUUGUUGGCUUGUUAUUGUGUUGUGAUUGAAAAUACGCUAUUUCCACCCCUAGAAAUUGCUCACUGUUGUGGUAAGCAGCUUUCUAGGCGAAUCCCACCGUUCACCCGGCUUCUCCAAACCCGCCAAGUUUUUCUUUGCUCAUCACCCCUGAGCUUCCCUAAGUCCCAUGAUUUCCACAGGGACUAGAAGAUAGCAUUUUCUCAGGCACAGAUGAGUACUUGGAGCAACGAAGGUGCCUGAUGGAACCUUUCUGCCAUUCAAAGGGGUAUUCUAUCCGUCUCUGAGAGGCCUCACCGCUCUGAGGCUGUAUGUACAAGCCAGGGAGGAAGGUGAGGAGUAACUUUGGGUGAGAUACCUUAAAAUCCAAGAAUGGGGAGGGAAGAUACGGAGGAAAUACCCUGGCUGGUGAGGUUGAUGUUGGAACUUUGAAUACCUAGGAGGAUCAGUCUUUUUUAAUAGCUAAUCCUUUGGCCAUAACAGGCUGGCUUUAGUUCUUUCCUGGGAGGUAAAAAAACAAAAACAAAAAACACUGUGCUCUAUGAAAGCAGUUAUUGGCUUCUCACUGUGCAUGUUUUUAUAUAGAACCAGUUUGGAGAGUCUGUCGUUAGAUACUUAUUCGGUUUGCCGGCACUGAAGUCACAAUAAAAAGAUGCCUCUAACAAA